rnacentral:rRNA from 1 species
GGCGGCGCGCUUAACACAUGCAAGUCGAACGAGGUCCAUUCGGUAGCAAUACUGAUGAAGACCUAGUGGCGAACGGGUGCGUAACACGUGAGCAACCUGUCCCGAAGACCGGGAUAACACCGGGAAACCGGUGCUAAUACCGGAUAUCCCCAUCUGAUCGCAUGGUCGGAUGAGGAAAUGGAUUCCGCCUCGGGAGGGGCUCGCGGCCUAUCAGCUUGUUGGUGAGGUAACGGCUCACCAAGGCUCCGACGGGUAGCUGGUCUGAGAGGACGACCAGCCACACUGGGACUGAGACACGGCCCAGACUCCUACGGGAGGCAGCAGUGGGGAAUCUUGCGCAAUGGGCGAAAGCCUGACGCAGCAACGCCGCGUGGGGGAUGAAGGCCUUCGGGUUGUAAACCCCUUUCAGCA